GGGUCAGUAGGUUGGUCGUGCGACCGGUACGUACUGGUCUCACUGAUUCGUCCUUCCUGAAGAACCGUAAUGCCAUUAAUUUGGUGUUGCGGGGAAACAGGACUGUUACUUUGAAAAAAUUAGAGUGUUUAAAGCAAGCUAACGCUUGAAUUCAUUAGCAUGGAAUAAUGAAAUAGGACGAUCGAUCCUAUUUUGUUGGUUUCUAGGAUUGACGUA
rnacentral:rRNA from 1 species